rnacentral:rRNA from 2 species
UACGUAGGGGGCAAGCGUUAUCCGGAAUCACUGGGCGUAAAGGGUGCGUAGGCGGCCGAUAAAGUCUGGGGUGAAAGGCUACGGCUUAACCGUAGUAAGCCUUGGAAACUUAUUGGCUUGAGUGCAGGAGAGGUAAGUGGAAUUCCUAGUGUAGCGGUGAAAUGCGUAGAUAUUAGGAGGAACACCAGUGGCGAAGGCGACUUACUGGACUGUAACUGACGCUGAGGCACGAAAGCGUGGGGAGCGAACAGG